rnacentral:rRNA from 1 species
UACAGAGGUCCCAAGCGUUGUUCGGAUUCACUGGGCGUAAAGGGUGCGUAGGUGGUCGGGUAAGUCUGAUGUGAAAUCUCUGGGCUCAACCCAGAAAUGGCAUUGGAUACUAUUCGGCUAGAGGAGUGGAGGGGGGACUGGAAUACUUGGUGUAGCAGUGAAAUGCGUAGAUAUCAAGUGGAACACCAGUGGCGAAGGCGAGUCCCUGGACACUUCCUGACACUGAGGCACGAAAGCUAGGGGAGCAAACAGGAUUAGAAACCCUCGUAGUCC